CGAAUUUGUAUUUGGAAAUGUUUCACCAUACGUUUUCUCGACCGUCUCAAAGCAGCUUCCACCUUUGCGUCGUCGUGACGGUGGUGCGCCGACCCACAAUCUUCGCCGUGACCCACGAUUAAUGCUCCAUCGCCUAAUUUUUCUACACGAGAAGUGCUGUAGAAUGCAUCGCAAGUGUACUUCCUACGUGCCCUGGAAAGAGAAGCAUCGCGCGUUCAGGAUCAUAUGUUUGUGGUCAUGGGCUGGGGUCCUUGUGGAGGAGACGCCCAAGUAGUUCACCCAGGUUCACAAGCAAAAUCAGUGAGAAAGCAAACACAAAGUUGGAUAACAAAUCCAGCCUGAAUGAGAACCAUUCUACUGCAGAAAAAUCGUGAAACCAUGGCCUUGAGUAAUUAUCUAUGAGAUCAAGGUUUGUAUUGCUGAAACGGUCCUUCUGCCCGAAUGCUCUAAUAGUUGUAGCACCAGAGAAUGAUUCUGCAAAAUGAUGAAGGAUUGGAGAUCUUUGAAUUUCUGACAACCGAGCCAAUUCUCUUGCGGUCGAAGGCGUUGAAUCAAAGAAGGACAUUGGAGCACGGAGAACAGAGUGGAGCAUCUUUUGGAAAAAUUUUUGAGAUGUCAAAAGGCCAACUUUUAUAAGUAUUGUUGCUCGGAUCAACGAACACAGUGAACAUCCAACUGAAAGAAGCACAUACACCAGAAAGAGAAACUUGAGCCCCACUGCAGAUUCUGUGGUUGCAGAUGAAGGGGAAGCCCAUGCCAUCCAAUAGUUGCUUGCUACUUGCAAUAUCUGGAAAAUUGAAUGUGCUAAGACUAUUAUGGGAACCAUGGCUCCUCCUUGUACCGCAGUCAGGUAUGCCCAAUAAACAUCUUUGGAAACACUUCCUUUCUCUCUCUCCUCAUCUUGUAUUAGCCUCCCUCUAUUAUCCAUAUCUUGACAAAGAUCAUGUUUAGACUCUUGGUUAUCAAUGAUUUGAAAUGAACUACUUGAUUUUUUCUCUUCAAUGGAAUCAUGACUGCUUGAUGCCUGUAGUAAAUUUAUCUCUGCAUCACGCGGCAAUUUGCUUGAGGCUUCUGUAUUGAGUAUUAAUUCAAGAGCGUCACUAUGAGCUCCAACUAACACCUCAAAUCCUGUGUUUUGCCUUAGAAGCUCAUCAAAAGCUCCAGCCUGAUCAAUUUUUCCAUUCUGCAUCACCUGUUAUAUCAAUUGCUAUUAGCUGGUCUUAAUCAUUCUACUUGACUACAUGACAAAUUAAGUAGGAAACAUGGGUAUGUUAGUUUUAUGGGGAUGCCACAAUGUUGUCCUGAUGAGUGCUUCUAGUUGAUAAUAUGUUAAUUGGUUUUGUUUUAUUAGAUGCAAUGGGAAGAACUAUAAUUCUUGCAGCAUAAUCAUUUGGGAAAAAGGAAUUUCAGCAGUUUUUCUUUACCAGGAUAAGGUCUGCUACUGGAAGAAAUUCAACUUGAUGUGUAACAUAAAGUAUGGUUUUGUCUCUAAGAGUACCCAUUAGACAAUCCUGCAGAAUAAGAAUAAAGCAUUUGUCAACAUAUGAAGGGGUUUUUCCACAACGAGAAAAUUGAAAGUGAUAAUUACUAGGUAUCUCAAACAUUUGGUCCUCGGAUUCAUUUAAAAAAUAUUUACUUUGGAACAUAUUAGAGAAGACAAGGAAUUUUGGAUGUAAAUCAUGCUGUAUGGUUUUCUCUCUCAAUUCUAGUCUUUUAUUAUGUUAUACAUUUGAGAGGGAAGAGAGGGGGGGAUCAUUUGUUUAAAGCAUAUUUCUGUAAUAUAACUUUGAAUAGUUGAGUGCCAGUAUGAGCAUCCAAAGCACUGAAAGGGUCAUCAAGAAGGUAUAUGUCGGCAUCCUGGUAGACUGCUCUAGCUAUUUGGAUCCUCUGCUUCUGUCCUCCACUCAUAUUUAUACCCCUCUCUCCAAUCUCUGUCAGGUCCCCAUUAGGGAAGAGCUCAAAAUCCUUUUUCAGUGCACAAACCUCAACUGUCUUUUCAUACUUUUCGCUGUCAAAAGGAUUUCCAAAGAUAAUAUUUUCUCUAACAUUUCCUGAUAUUAUCCAUGGGGAUUGAGAAACAUAUGCUUUGCUGCCACUAAUUUUCACCUUUCCUCCCAUCUUUGGUAGUUCUCCAAGGAUGCAAGACAGUAAACUAGACUUUCCUGAACCAACAGUACCACAAAUAGCCACCUUCAUUCCCCUAUGCACCUUCAACUGAAUAUUUUCAAGUGUGGGGUAUACGGAGUCUUUCUUCCAGCAAAAUAUUCCAUGAUCGAUCUCAACAUCAAUCUCUGUUUCUGUUCUUGGAACAAUUUCAACCACAUCAGAUUUCAUUUCAUCUUCUUGGAGGUACUUUGCUAUUCUGUCAGCUGAAACUUUUCCUUGUGCAAGUACUGAAAGCAAAUCAGGGAUGGUAAAGAUUGGCUCUUGCAGCAUUCUGAAUGUUGCCAAUGCAGACAAAACUCUUCCUGUUGUCAGAGGAAUUCCUAUUAGUAUGCAUGUUCCAAAUGUUGCCGCUGAUAUGAACAUAGGUGCUCCCCAGAAUAUGAAAGAUGAAAUUAGUUGUACUCUUUCAGACCUCCACAGCCAGUUGUACUCUGUGUUUCUCAAGGCUUCUAACUUGUGAAGGUAUUGUAUGUCCCAAGCUUGUAGUUUCAAAAUUUUCAUGUUUCGGAGGACUUCUGCGGUUGCUUUCAUUCGUUCAUCUUUAGCUUUCAUGAUGCUGCUCUGGAAUCUUUUUUGUGCUCUUGUUAUAGGAAUAUUGCAUGCCAUUACCAUUGUUGUUGCUGCUAAUCCAGCAAAAGAUCCCACUCCCAGAUUCUUAUGAAGAACAUAUAUUGCUAGUGAAAUCUGAACUGGAAGCAUCCAUAUGAUAUUUGAAUGCCACAUGAGGUCUGUGAUCCUUUGGAUAUCCACACUUAUGUAGUUGAUAAUCUCCCCACUUGUAUGGCUCUGCCGAGACUCACUUGAUAACUCAAGACCCUUUUUAUAUAUAUGGGAUAUUAGAGCAGCUCUUACACGCAUUGCAAGCUGUUGGGCUCCAAAAUUCCAUUGUCUCUGGCACACAGACUCCACAACUUUGGCACCUAGGAAUGUAAGUACAAGGACAUAACCACUUCUCAACCCAUGCUGCCUCUCUCCUCCUAAGAACUUAACAAAGUUGACAAUCAAUGAAGGUCCAACAUAAGAGGCCCCUGCUGCUACAACUGCAAAGCUUGCAUUGAUCGCUGCCUUUUUCCUAAUGAAUACAAAGAUUGCUCUGUAGAUAGAUGAAGUUCUCAAGCCGUAUCUUUCUUUGACAUUAUUCAGGCAGCUAUCAAACGAGUGGGACACAAACUCAGCAGAACUGUUUUUAUCAACAUCUGGUACUUCAUUCUGCUCCAGAGGCUUCCUUCUCCCAGUAGCAAAUAGUGGAUUAAUCCAUGAGAAGGUCAUAAGUUGUAAAAGAUUUGCACUUCCAUACAAAGAGCUCCUCUGGCUUUCAACAUGCUUCGCCUUUGAUGUUUGCACUUGCAAUAGUGGUUCCCUGAGACUGCCAGAGUCGCUGCUGAUCCCUGUUGUGCCUCUGACUGCAAUGACAAACAGUAAUAUGCAGGGAAAGAGACUAAUUAUAUCGGUAUAUUGUUCUAUUCUUAAGAAUGACUUCUCUUGAAGAAUGGACUGUAUGUCGAUAACAGUAAAGGUAGCUGACUGCAGGGUGCUGCUUAUCAACCAUGUUCUUAUAACCCAAGAAAGUUUUUCAGAUCGAGUUCGUGGGAGAUUCAGUGUGAUAACAAGCAAAAUUAUCCAGGAUAUCAACUGUGUUGUCUCGGCUAGAACUGACGUAAUGUACUUGCAGUUGCCUUGACUUCCUUUUAGCAGCAAGAAAACAAGUCCAAACAAGUUGGUGACCGGUAACAGUAAGCAACAAACUUUGGCAGCUUGGUAUGAGAAACUCAAGCGUAUACAAUUAAGAUUGUUCUGAUCAGUAGUGCAAUUUUGCAUCUCUUCAACAUUGGUCCUGGAUCUCAUUCUGCAUGAUUUGCUAAGUAUCUUCCAUAAGAGUUGCAGGAAGAAACAACCGAUAAAAAUGAGAUGGACAAAUACAAAAAGAUUCUUCCAGAAACAAAGUGUGCUAAUAUCUUUCCACCCUUCCCAAAAUUGAGGUGAAUGGAAAUCUGCAGGAGAACGAAAUACUAUUUUCAGUGGGUAAAGAAACAAAAGUUCUGCAGUAACUGCAGGGGAAAGAAGUGCAAGUGGAAGCGGGAAGAGAGAUCGACCAGAUUCGUCUGCGGUUAAUGACGAGUGAAGAGUACUUUACCCAAAUAGUUGGGGGUGCUCAUUGGAUAAGGUAAAUCCGGGGAAAAGAUUUCGUCGUGUUGGCCACCGCACGCGGUGAUGCAUGGUUUCCUUUUGUAGAUCCAUUAGUUGGACGCAGCAGUGUGUGGGUUUCGUUUCUGUUUCUGAUAUAUCUCCUCUUGGCAUAUUCACCGAACACAAUCACAUAGUUGAGGAUGCGGAUAAUGUGCAGAGUAUUUUGCAUAUGAGAGUUAUUAAGCGUCACGGUAGCACGUUGGAUUACAAGUCCAUGUCUGUCGCGGUCCAGCCCGGCCCAUCCCCUCCCAUCCGGCCCGGCCCGGCCUAUAUAUAAAACCCGGCGCCGUAGGAGUUAUAACUGCUUCCCCGCAAAUGCCGCUCUCCCUCCCCACGGCGAUUCGGGAGUUUCGAUAACGAAUCUUGGAGGCUUCGCCUGCUUUGUUUCAUCUUGGUUUUGUUGGAUUUUGCUGCAGGAAGAUGGUGGUGUUGGUCACGACGGCCGACGUUGAAGCGAGUUCCAGGCGCCUCGGAAUUGAUCCUUCCUUCCUUAGGUUGAUGUGGUUUCUUUCUCGGAAUUGAUCUUUCUUGGUUUCAGUGGAAGUCGCCCCGGUCGAGGACUUUGGCAUCGAAAGGUAAUGGACCUUAUCCAAACCCUAACCCUCUCUUGGCCAGAGAGCUUUUGUUUCGUGUAAUGUUGUUUGUUUCUUGGGUUGAUCUGUUCCUCGUCUUUUUUUUUUUUUUUUGGGGGGCGAAGCUUUUGGCAUCAAAAGGUAAUGUACCUUAUCCUAACCCCAACACUAAGCGUGUCUUGGCCAUAGAUCUUUUCUUUCGCGUAAAGUUAUUUGUUUCUUGAGUUGAUGAUUUGUUCGUUAUUUUCCUUCUGGCGAAGAUUCUGGCAUCAAAAAGUAAUGUUCCUUAGCCUAACCCAGCCCUAUUGACCAGCGAGCUUUUCUUUCGUGUAAUGUUGUUUGUUUCUUGAGUCGAUUUGUUUUUCAUUUUCUCUGUUGGCGUAGAUUUUGGCAUCAAAAAGGUGAUGUGUCUUAUUAUAACCCUAACCCUAAGCAUAUCUUGUCCAGAGAGCUUCGCAACAUCUGGCUCGUUGUUUUGUGGAAAUAGGAGUAUAUAUAUAUAUAUAUAUACACACGAUGUUUGCUUAACUUCCAUCUCCCUCCCUUGUUGAUGCACCUCUUGCUCUCUCAUCCACGAUGGUUGUAGCACUUGAAGCUCAGUCGC